AGAUACACAAAAUGGUUAUUUUACGAGACAGAAUUAAGAUGAAGGUCUUCGGAGGAACACUUGUCAUUGUAGGACUAGUGCUUUAUACUAAUUUAGCAUUAAAAAUUUUUUGUGAAUCAGAGCCACCUACAAGUUCAGUGCUGCCCUCUUUAAAUCAUAUUCCACCACACAAGAAAUCAGUGCUGCCCCCUAUAAAUGCAAAACUGUCGCUGAAAGAUGAAAAUGGUGUUAGUGAGCUGUCUACAAGUAAUAUCGAAAUC